GACGAACGCUGGCGGCGUGCCUAACACAUGCAAGUCGAACGGAAAGGCCCUGCUUUUGUGGGGUGCUCGAGUGGCGAACGGGUGAGUAACACGUGAGUAACCUGCCCUUGACUUUGGGAUAACUUCAGGAAACUGGGGCUAAUAUCGGAUAGGAGCUCCUGCUGCAUGGUGGGGGUUGGAAAGUUUCGGCGGUUGGGGAUGGACUCGCGGCUUAUCAGCUUGUUGGUGGGGUAGUGGCUUACCAAGGCUUUGACGGGUAGCCGGCCUGAGAGGGUGACCGGCCACAUUGGGACUGAGAUACGGCCCAGACUCCUACGGGAGGCAGCAGUGGGAAAUAUUGCACAAUGGGCGGAAGCCUGAUGCAGCGACGCCGCGUGCGGGAUGACGGCCUUCGGGUUAUAAACCGCUUUCGCCUGUGACGAAGCGUGAGUGACGGUAAUGAGUAAAGAAGCACCGGCUAACUACGUG
rnacentral:rRNA from 1 species